rnacentral:tRNA from 1 species
GACCCACUAGCUCAAUUGGUAGAGCAACUGACUCUUAAUCAGUAGGUUCGGGGUUCGAUUCCCCGGUGAGUCA